ensembl:miRNA mml-mir-4796 mml-mir-4796
GGCUCAAGUCAUGGCAGUAAAUUUGUGUCUAUACUCUGCCACUUUACUUUUGGCCUCAAGUCAUUGCGGUAAAGUGGCAGAGUGUAGACACAAAUUUAGGCCUUCUGACUCC